AGGCGCGUAGCUCAGGGGGAGAGCGCUACCUUGACACGGUAGAAGUCGUUGGUUCAAAUCCAAUCGUGCCUACCA
rnacentral:tRNA from 2 species